UCCGGUUUGUCACCGGCAGUCUCCCUAGAGUUCCCGGCCGAACCGCUGGCAACAUAGAACGAGGGUUGCGCUCGUUGCGGGACUUAACCCAACAUCUCACGACACGAGCUGACGACAACCAUGCGCCACCUGUGAACCGGCCCCAAAGGGGAAACCACAUUUCUGCGGCGAUCCGGCCCAUGUCAAGCCUUGGUAAGGUUCUUCGCGUUGCAUCGAAUUAAUCCGCAUGCUCCGCCGCUUGUGCGGGCCCCCGUCAAUUCCUUUGAGUUUUAGCCUUGUGGCCGUACUCCCCAGGCGGGGCACUUAAUGCGUUAGCUACGGCACCGACGGAGACCCGCCGGCACGUAGUGUCCAUCGUUUAGGGCGUGGACUAC
rnacentral:misc_RNA from 1 species